GGAGGGAGGAAGCUUGUGCGCACUCGCGCACGCACGCGAGAUCGCUCUACACGUGUAGAGACACAGAGAGAAAGGGAUUGGUUUUGUUGCUGAGCUGGGCAGACAGAAUCAGACAAUGACCACAUGGAAAGUGAAGACCAAGAAGCUUGGGAAGAAAAGAUCCCUGGUCAUAUGUUUGUCACCUUCAGGAACCUGUGAAGAAAUGCGAUGGGGGCAAUGGUAGCUUUGUCCUUUGGGACUUAAGGGGCAAACAUAACGGGCUCUGCAUUAACUUUCCUAUGUCAGCAAAAAUUCCACGGCGAAAUGGCGGUUUAUGUGACCUUUUCUCGAGGCUCCAGAAACAACUGCCUGAUUUCCUGUGCUUCGGCUCUUCUCGUUAUAUUUCCAAGGUCCAGGACUCUGCUCUUUCCUUGGAAUCACUUUGACACAAGUUCCUUAAAGAGCGGUGAUGUCUACACGUGCUAGUUUGCACACACAAUACACUGGACCCAUGAUCCGGGUUAGUCAUCCGCGGUGACUUCGGAGUUCCAGGGCAGGGGGGAGAGGAAAGAGUCUGAGAAACUUGGAAGUUCUUCCUGGCAUGACUGGAAGUGUAAGAUGUGACAUCCUGGCUCCAAUCCAGUGCAAAGGGGAAUUUGAAGAGCAGCGCACAUAUUUGUAAUUUUCCAGCCUCGGGCACACAUUUCCUCUCCUGACCAUUUGUGUUCCUUCAGAGUUUACAGAGAGAUCUGUCAGUUCUCUGAAAGAGAUGCCAGUGCAGCGGACACUUGAGAGAACAGAGAGACCUUGAGACAGUCUGAACAGAAAAUGGCUUGUAGAUUCAGCAACAAACCAUCCUGACCUAUGGGAGUGGAUGAUUCUUGCAAGAGCUGGGGGAUAGUUGGUUAAAAUGAAUAAAAAGAUAAUUACCCCGGAGGCUUACACCUUUCUGAUGCUGCUUGUUUGUUGAUAAUGCUGCAGAUUUUAACAUUAGCGGAGAUGUUACCCUAAGAAUGUUUGAAGCCAGUUGGAUAAUCAGCAAGGUAAAAACUAUCAAAUACAUCGUAGAACCUAUGCUUAUAGCAGUAAAGGUGAGGAAUCAACAUUAUUCUUUCUCUGCAGGCACAGGUGGCUCUUUUACUGUGUGGAACCCUGUGGAAGAGGAGACAGAAAGAGCCUAAGAGCCAGACGGGAUGGAAGACACCCAGAGAACAAGGUCUUCCAAAGUCAACAGGACUGACCUCAGCGAUAGGGACGGUGGCAACAUGCACAGAGCUUGCACAGGCCUGCACCAGAUGGAUCCCAGAGCCGAAAGAAGUGGACGGACACCCCCAUCCCUGACCCAGAAGCUAUCUCCAACUGAUAACCAUUUGCAAAUGAAAAUUUAGUUUUCUCCAAUCAAGUUCUUACUAGGUAUACAAACUACUCUGAAGGCCAAGAAAUGGCCAACACAAAAUGAA
rnacentral:lncRNA from 1 species